UACGGAGGGUGCAAGCGUUGUUCGGAAUCACUGGGCGUAAAGGGCGCGUAGGCGGCCUGUUAAGUCGAACGUGAAAUCCCCGGGCUCAACCCGGGAACUGCGUCCGAUACUGGCAGGCUUGAAUCCGGGAGAGGGAUGUGGAAUUCCAGGUGUAGCGGUGAAAUGCGUAGAUAUCUGGAGGAACACCGGUGGCGAAGGCAGCCCCCUGGGCCAAUACUGACGCUCAUGCACGAAAGCGUGGGUAGCAAACAGG
rnacentral:rRNA from 1 species